GUUUGUUUGUGUAGUCACUCUCUCAAUCAAGGUGGUCGUUUGUCUCGUCAGGUGUCUUCAUACACGUCAGCAGAUCCUGGAAGUCAGCGUUAGUCGAGGUCAGUAUCCAGUGUGUCCAGACCGUCAUGUACGUCUGGGUCCUCCCCUCUGCCAGCAGGGAGAGCUCUUCCAGAGCUCUCAGCUCCUCCAUUUUUUGGUACCACGUCCCCAACGGGGGCGCACAUUGUUUUUUCCAGUAGAG